ACCACAGAAACAGCAGCCCUGGUUUGAGGAAGUAGCAUGGAGUGCAACAGCAAAUGCAGUCAAAAGCUAAAGUGCCAGCAGAGGGGAGAUGCACGAGCUGUCCUGCUGCCCACGUGGGCUGAACACACCUGAACCACCAGCACACCCUGCACAGUGUAACAGGACGUUCUGGUCAUGAAGAUCAUCGCAAACAUGAGAAUGUUUCAAGAAGCAUCCCAGAGUGGAUCACAGCAUUUGUCCUCUCCAUGCCUUCAGGUCCCUGCAAGCCCAAGGAAGCCUGGCCACGUUUACUACCAGCUGUAUUUUCUUCCUAAGCCAACCUAAUCCCUUUAAUAGAACGUGUGGGCUGAGAUCGCCACGAACAAGACAUUAAAUCCUGCUAAACUAUUCGGGCCACUUGCAGAUAGUUUGUUAUUCCAGAGUGCUUCUUAUUCGAAAGCCACUUGGAUAUUGACAUUGAUAGUUGGAAAUCGUGUUAUUCCGUUCUAUCAUCCCUUUUCCUCACGUGAAUCAAGCACGGGAAGGCACUUACCAUUGCAGACAGGGGGUCCCGUGCUGUGCCGUUGGGAUCUGCCAGAACUGAGCUGCUGUUGUGUGACGUUUUGCUGAACAUCGCUGUGCCCGGAUAGCUGGAGAACCUGGUUUUCUUUUGCUGAUCACAGCAGUGGCCAGCUGUUCAAGGCCUCUGUUUCCAGGGGACACCUUUGCCUCGCCCUUUAUGGGAUCCUGAGGUUUUAAAGUAAACAGUUCAUUCUCUUUCUGAUAAGUCAUAUUAAAAUAUUGAUCCGGGGGGAGGGGGG
ensembl:lncRNA